rnacentral:lncRNA from 1 species
CACUUGAUGUGCACCUUUGACAUUAAAUGUAUAAUAAAAAUAGCAGAAAUGACAAGUGUCAGGAAGCAGGAGAUGGCCUGGGCAAGUAAUUUAGCAACCUAAUUGACAAGGGAGGAAGUUGAGAAAGCAAACCCACCCAAGUUUAGGGGUAGAACCUAUAGCUAAAAUUCCAUUUAAAUUAUAUUCAGUAUACCUUUUCAAGUAGUUGGGAGGCUGAAUUCACUUGUUUUAUCAAGAAGACUUAUAUCCAAAGUUCUAAAAAUUAAUGAUUAGAAGCUUAAACAAAGCCUCCCUAUAAUAUGACAUCAAUUCUCAGAACUUUGGGGACAUCCCCAUCUUCUCAAAGGACUUUGUUAAUUUUUAAAGCAACUUGACUCCUGUUUCUUAUCUUUAUCAAAUACAAAUUAGUUUCUUAGGGAUCAACAUGGUAUAGUAAGAAAAGAAAUAAGCAUGUGUCAGGAGACAAGGAAUUCAAUAGUUUCUAUUAUGCUGAGAAUUAUCUGAACUUUGAUACCCUUUGUACAAUGAAAAUAACGUUUCCAAAAAUUCUGUAAUUCCAAUUAAGAGUUUAUUGAAAGAAACAUACUUCAAUGCCCAACAUGUUUGCAUUCCAAAUUUUGCAACUAGAAUUCUAAUCUUCACAGUUUUUGAAACAUUCCAUUGAUCAGAUACUGAAUAGCCACAAUAUGAUAUACAAUUGCCUAGUCACUUAAUAUUCUGGAGGAUAUUUGACUCAGUACCAGCCUUUGGGGAUCAAAUAAUUUAGUUUGUGAAACAAAACAUGCCGAAAAGAACAUACAAGUAAAAGGCAGACUAUGACACGAGUCAAUGCUAAAAGUGCCAGGUUGAUAAUAUAAUUGAGAAUUAUAUGGUGGAAAACUAAAGAGCAUGGACCAUUUGAAGGGCAGUUCAAAUGUAGUUUGAUUUCCAAAGUGGAAAGUGCAAUAGGAGAGCAAGCAAAUGACCCAGAAAAUAGUUUAACCAGCUAGUGAAAUCUUUUGAAUAAUGUUAUAAGAAAAUGCAACUCCACUACACAAUAGGAAAAUAGAUAAUUUCUGAAUAAUCAUAUAGAAUUUAAUAUUUAUAUUACUUACCACAGCACACAGACAUCCAAUUAAUUUCUAGGCCAUCAAAAUUUGGUCUUUAUCUCUUAUAAAGAGAACAGGCUCUCAAAAGACACAAAAACUUUACUCAGAACAUAGACAUCACACCUACAGAUAUUCCCAUAAGUAACUUUUGUUUCAGUUAAGAGAGUUUCAAUAAAAUAUGAAAAAAACAUAACUAAGAGCUUGUGGAAGAGUUAAAAAAUCUAAGAUUCCAGUCCUUAGAUCUUAAUCUUUCUAUCAAUUUUUAAAUAAAUAUCAUUUCACAAAGACCUACACAGCAUCCGCACUGUGUUGCUUGCUCAUCUCCACAGUAUUGCAGUGAGCAUAAAACUCCUCUCUUAAGACUCAUUAGAGGCAGUUAUCCCAAAAAUUUGGGGCCAUAAGUUGUUUUCAUGUACAUGUACAUAAUACACAUAUAUACAUAUGUACAUAUAUAUAUAUAUAUUAUAUAUAUACACAUAUGCAUACACGCGCGCACACACACACACACACACACACACACACACACACACACACACACAUACACACGUGCUUCCAGCAUUUGCCUCCACCAAGACCUAAAGAAUGAUUUCUUCUCUCUUCUAGCAUGAAAGUUUGCUGCUUUCUCUACUGAAUUAACUCCAUUUUCAAGAAAGAGCAUUUCAAUACAUUUUUCUGACAGGUAGGAAAUUAACUACAUACUAGAAGCUAUUGAAUUCAACUUUAACAGUAUCAAUAAACAUUUCUGAUUAAAUUAUUGAAAUUGAUUUUAUAAUUUCGACCAUUAUGUUUUUACAUCAAUAUCAUCAUCUGACAGUAAAUGUAGUUACAGCUUCCUUAUUGAUCGCAGACAUGGCACUCUAAAGUACUCAUUUGACUAUAUUACAAAAUCAAACUUGAUUUCCUGUACUACUGCAGUAACUUCACAUCAUAAUCUAGUCUGAAAAAUCAAAAUAGAUGAAUUAUUCAGUUAUUAAAAGAUAUAUUUUUCCUUGGAGGAAAAGAACACUCUGAUGAAGUCAUUCUUAAUAGUUGUGUGAUAGGAUAUUUCUCCAUGUGGCUUACUCUAUGUGGGUCUCACAUAAGCGUAUCAUUGCCUCCCAGCUUGUGUGUGAUCAAUCAUGUUUCUGGUGAAAUGCAUAAAUAGUGCUUGAAGAGAAAGAAAUGUUUAUCCUUCCUAUGUGGGAAUUCAGCAAAAAGCACAUGGUUUCUAUGUUUAAAACUCUGACUCUUGAUCACACUAGUCCAGCUUAUCAAAAUAAGACAAGUAUGUUCAGCCAUUUUAUCUCCCAGAAGAGCAACAUGUCUUCUGUGGCUCUAACUACAUGGUUCUAAAAGUAACCCAAAUGGUGAUGGACUGAGCUAAACUAAACAUUCAUCCUGGAAGUUCAGCAUCUCCUUAGAGACCCAAAUAAGAAGAUUCAAUGCCUGUCAAAACUUUGCCACAAAAGAAUUGCCUUCAAGUCAUGGACUAUAAGGCUACAUGGGAAAUAUCUCAUGUUGUCUACUACUCUGUUUGGGAGAAGAGGAGUGCAAGCCCUAGGUCACCAAGGCAUUUGCUGGAGGAGAAACAGCUGCUCAUGCCAAUAACAGGACCUGACUCCAGUUGUGUUUUCACCUAGAUCAACUCUUUUUUCCCCAUUUUAGUUGUAACUUUUCCUGUAACUUUUCAAAUGACUGAUGAAGUGAAAAUUAAUACUUCAAAUCCAAGAAAAGCUACAUCCACCCCUGAAGCAUGGAUAUUAACACAUACCAGAGACCUUCUAAAACUAUACUAUGGAGAUUUUUAAAAAAUUUGGCCAUCUCUCUAUAUCCAUAAAAUGAAUCUCCUAUCCCAUGUAAAUCCUACUAUUGAAAAAUGUCAUUCAUCUGUUUCAUAAAAGAUCAAGGUAAAUUUAUUCAUAGUGAUACAAAGUAUCAAAUAGAUCAAAUAUGGCUUUUCUAAGAGAAUCUUUAAGUCUUUGUCACAGCUUUGAGUUUAAAUGAUUAGAUAAUCACACCUCCUCCUUACUAUUCUUUAACCUUAAAUUAACAUUUGAUAAAUGCAAGCUCUUGAAAAAGUGUUCUGCUGUAAUUCAGGUGGAAUAAAAGUAUUAAAGUAUAGGCUUUUAUUGAGCAUACCCUAGAAUCUUCAAGUUGAAUGCAGCCACUCAGCUUCCUAGCUAGCUCCAAAGAGAGAAGGUCAGGGCCAUCAUUCCUAGAAGAUACCCACCUGGUCUCACAUACUAGGUCCACAGCCAUGAUCUUUUCCUUUUCUGAGAGGUCAUGGCAUUUGUAGAUAACCAUGAAGAGUGGAAGUUUUCAUUUAUAAAAGAGUACAAUAUUUUUGCCGAUUUAGUUCACACUUCUAAAGAGUUUAUUAAAACUAUUAAUUUAAACACUGAGACAAGGGGCUGGAGAGAUGGCUCAACUCUUAAGAGCAUUGACUGCUCUUCCAAGAGGAUCCUGGUUCAAUUCCCAUCACCCACAUGGCAGCUCACAACUGUCUGUAACUCCAGUUCCACAGGACUUGACACCUUCACACAGACAUACACACAGGCAAAACACCAUUGCAAUAUAAUAAAAUUAAUAAAUUUUUUAAAAGUGAGAAAAGUCAUAGAAAUUAGGCCCCUAUUUUUUUAAAAAAAGAUUUAUUCAUUUUAUUUUAUGUUUAUGUGUUUUGCCUGAGUCUGUAUAUUUGCUCAAUGAGCAUGUAUUAGCCCCCUAUCUUAUUAUGACAAUAUUGUAUUGGCUUAGUUUUCGAAAAGUAAGCAGAUAUCUGAGACUAAAAUAAUUCCAGAAAGCUUGAAAAAGACAAAACAGUCAAAGUCUAGUAUUUUUUCUUUGUUUACUUUCUUGGUAUAGUGUUGGAUUUCUUCAAAGGGAGAGAGACGUGGCAAGGCGGUUGUGGUGUCAGAGUGUUUCACUAUUUGUCACCCCGAGAAUGAAGAUAAGCACCACUCUAAGCUGAAUGAUACCUAUUGUUUAUUCACCAGUGACCACAUAUGAACAAAUAGGCCUUUUAGAUAGAUUAUUUUUAAUUACUAGGUAAGACAGUGGACUGGAAGCUACUGCUACAGAACCAUGUUAAGGAGAAGAAUCAGGAAAAGAAUAAUAUAUGUUAUAAGAAAGAAAGAUGGCCAGUGACAUAACUCAGCUGGUGAAGGUGCAUGCCACUAAGUCUGCUUGCCUGAGUUUGACCCCCAGAAGGAGAUCACUUGACUUCCUCAUGUGUACCAUGAUACUUGGGUUCUACCCCAACAAAUAAAUAUAAUAAAAUAUCUUAGUCAAUAAAAGAAAAGAAUAGCUUUUGAAAUCCACAAGAGGUGUGACAGGGCAUUUCAAGGGUUAGAAUCCCCUGCAUCCUAAGCCACAUCUCUCCAGCAGUAUGAUUCAUGCUUAAUAAGGUCCGAGUGUACCACAUCUCUCCAGAAUGAUGAUUCAUGAUUAGUGAGGUCCAAGUGUACCACAUCCCUCCAGCAGGAUGCUUAGUGAGAUACAAGUGUACCACAUCACUCCAUCAGGAUGAUUCAUACUUAGUGAGGUCCUAGUGUACCACAUCUCUCCAGCAGGAUGAUCAAUGCUGGGGACAGAUUUACAGAUCUUAGCAUUGUAGCUAUUUCUGUCAUUCCUAAUUUACAUGAGAGACACCCAGUCCCAGCUACGACUAAUCAGCCAUCAUAGCUCUUUUCUUAUUAACUUGACGCAUCAACUUUUGGGUGGGAAUUUAUUUUUUGUUUUGCUUUGUUUCUUAUCUCAACUGCAGUUUCCCCUCUGUCCUCUCCAAAAGCAGGUCUCCCAUGGAUAUCAACCAAACAUGGCAUAUCUAGUUUCAGUGAAACUAGGUACCUCUUAAUCCUAUUAAGUCUAAAUGAGGCAACCCACCAGGAGAAAAGGGUCCCAAAGGUAGACUACAGAGACAGAGACAGUCCCUGCUUCCACUGUUAGGAGUUUCACAAGAAGACUAGGCUACACAACUGUUAACAUAUAUGCAGAAGACGUAGGUCUGUCCCAUGUAGGGUCCCACUUGUCAGUUCAGUCUCUGUGAGCCCCUAUGAAACUAGGUUAGUUGAUUCUGUGGGUUUUCUUAUGAUAUCUUUGGGCCCCCUGACUCCUACAAUCCUUCCUCCCCCUCUUCUAUAAGCUCCCCCAAGAUCUGCCUAAUGUUUGGUUGUGGGUCUCUGCAUCUGUUUCCAUCAGUUGCUGGGUGAAGUCUCUCUGUAGACAAUUGGGCUAGGCGCCAACUUAUGAGUAUAGCAAAUUAUCAUUAGUAAUCAUUUCAUUGAUAUUUUUUACAGUCCUGUUUGGUUCUAUCCUAGGUCUCUGGGCUAUCCUGCCUCUGGUUCCUGACCCUCCAGGCAGUGUCAGAGGUGAACUCCCUCUCAUGGCAUGGGUCUCAAGAUGUACCAGUCAUUGCUUGGCCAUUUAGCUAGGGUCACCUUCAUAGAUUUCUAGGAGUUUCCAUUGCACUAGUGUAGCAUGAGUUCUAGUUGGUAUUAAUAAUAAAAACCUAGAUACUGGGGUAAAAGUGAAAGAUCAUAGUAGUAAAGGAGCCAGCCACUUGAGAGACUUCUUAUCUCUACUGAAUCCUCAAACCAAAUGGGUAAAAUCCUGUCUCUAGGAAUCCUCAGACGGAAUGCAAUGAGCUCCUGUUUCCUCCUGUCUCUACUUCCCUAGUGCGGGGAUUAAAGGUAAGUGACUCCUAAGUACUGGGAUGAAAGGUGUGAGCAACCACAGCCUGGCUCUGUUUCUUUUUGAGACUGAAUCAAUCUCGUGUAGCCCAGGGUGGCCUUGAACUCACAGAGAUCCAUCUGCCUCUGCCCCCAAAUACUGGGAUUAAUGGUGUGUGCCACCACUGUCUGGCCUUUAAGGCUAACUAGUGGCUUAUUUCUAUACUUUGAUCUUUAGGCAAGUUUUAUUUGUUAGAACACAAAAUAUCACCACACACUAGGUUUCUAGAUCUUCCCAGAGAUGUCUGCAGAUUCCAAUUGUCUCUCAUGGUACUCUCUUUUUCCAUCCUCCCCCGACCUGAAGGAGUUUUAGGACAGUCAUGGCUAAACAGAGAAACCCUGUCUCAAACAACAACAACAAAGAGCUGUUGUAACAAACCAUAAUUUGAUGGGAGCAGAAGGGAUCAUGUACGGGGAAGAUGGAAGGAGAGAGCAUAGCUUUUUAAAAAUGGUUAAUUUUUUUGUAUGAGAUUUGAUUUAGAGGUAUAUGUUGAGCCUUAUGGGGUUGACUCCACAGCUCCCUGAAUUUGUGAAUAUCAAAUAGCUUAGCCUGAAGGGAUGAGGCCCCUUGUCCAUCCAUGAUCAAUUGUUGAUGGGCCCGUUCUUGUACAGACCUGGUACAGACAUCUGUGGCUACUUUCAAUGCUUUCAAUAGUUACGUUUUGCCCAGAAGAUGGCAAUUUGCCACCCUCCCCCCAUCUUCUAGCUCUUGCAUUCUUUCAGAUCCCCAUUCAGCAAUGUCCCCAGACUCUUAGUGGAUACAAAUAUCUUGUUUGGUGUUGGGAACUCAUUUGUCACUUAUUCUUGUUAUUUUAUGACACCACCACGUGUAUGCCUGACACCCACAAGUGUCAAGAGAGAGAGCAUUUAGUUCUCUGGAACUAGAGCUACAGAUGAUUUGUAAGACACCACGUGGAUGCUGGAAUUGAACCCAGGUCCUGUACAAGAACAACAAGUGCUCUUAACCACUGACCCAUUUUUCCCAUUCCCUCCAAGCUAAUUUUCAAUAAAUUAUGCUUAGUUUGGCUACAAGAUGGUAAGUGUCCACACAUCUUUUUAUAACCCCCUUUGUUUUCAUUAGUUCUUCCUCACACCCCUACUUUCUACUAUCUUCCCACAUUUUGUUGCUUAUGCCUUCUUACCCGCACCCCGAUACUUCCCUUUUCUUCCUUCACAAUGCUCACACUUUCCUAUCCCUUAUGGAAUGUUCCUUCCAAAUGUCCCCUUCUAGUUCCUUUCACCUACAGGUACUCCAUGUUGAAUGCAUAAAAUUAGAGUUUGCAAGCAACAGUCAUCCACGUGUGAAGGAAAACAUGCAGCAUUAGCUUUCUGUGCCUGGGUUAAUUCAAUCAAUGUAAUUUUUUCAUGAACCAGGUCUAUAAAUUCCAAAUUUAUCUCAGAAUUCCAUAAGAAUUGCUUGUUAUGCUCUGCUUAUAGCUUCAAAUGCUUUUCAAGCUCAAAGUUCUGAACUUUUCCACAUUCCUCCCACAAACCAAUUCCAAAGUCUAAGUACCACAUGGUCAGGCUUACCACCUUCAGUAUUAAUUUUCUGAGUUAGUUAGGGUCUUCCAGAAGAACAGAACUAAUAGAAUGGAUAUAAAUUUAAAUGGCUUUAUUAAAUUGGCCUCCACAAUCCAAUCUCUGUAAUCCAACAAUGGCCACUCUUUUUUUUCAAGGUCUAGUGGUAUAUCAUUAAAUUACAUGUUUGAGGUCUCUCAUAUUCAUUAAUGCAGACAUUUAGAAUUCUAUUCUUCCACCAAUGGAAUGCUUUCAUUAUAAACCAUAGGAUUUGCAAUGUUGUAUUUUCAUUUUAUUCUAGGGUAUUUUAUAUAUCACAUUAUACCUCCAGUGGCACAUUUAUUAUUGAAUAGUGUACUAUUUACUCUCCAUGAGUUCCAUGGCUCCUGAGAAGUUAAGUGUGUUUUAUAGUUUGGGAUAGAAUGUUCUACAGUUAUUUAAGCCCAUUUGAUUUGUGAUAUCAUUUCAUCUCAAUGUUUCUUUGUCUCUCUUUACUUUCUAUAUUUCUUCCCUCCUUCUUUUCUUUCUUUCUUUCUUCCUUUCUGCUAUAAUGGCUUACCAAAUGAUUGAAGUGGGAUAUUGAAGUCAUCCACUACAAUUUUACUGAGGCUAAUCUGUGUCUUUAUGUCUAAAGUGUUCUAAAGUGUGUGUUUUAUUAAAUUAGGUACAUCCAAGUUUGGUGAGUAUAUAUUUAGAAUUUUCUACUCUACUUGUAUUUAUUCCUUAGUCAGAAUGAAAUGGCCAUCUUUAUCUCUUCGAGUCCAAAGAGAUUUUUGUUUGAAAACUAUUUUGUCAAGCAGACUUGCUUCCUACUUCUAUUUGCUUAGAAUACAUUUGUCAUACUUUUACCAUAAGCUUAAGUCUAUCUUUUAUGAAAAGAAGUGAUUCUUGGAGGUAGCAAAUUUAUGGAUCUUAUUUUUCUAAUUAAUUAAUUUUACAUAUAUAUAUAUAUAUAUAUAUGUUUUAUGCAAUGCAAUGUGUGUGGUGGUGGUGCUGGUGGUACUGCUGGUGGUGAUUAGGACAUUCAUUUGGAGGUCAGAGAACAACUUGGAGGUUGUUCUUUCCUUUUAACUUUAUGUGCAUUCCUGAUUUCAUUAAAGGUCAUCAGGUUUAUACAGCAAGUGCUUCACUCACUGAUCUCUCUUGGGUCCUUUUUAAAAAUUAUUUAUUUAUUUCUGUGUGUAUGUGCGUGUAUGUGCCAUGUUGUGCAUGUGAAGGGCAGAGCACAGCUUGUGGAACUUGAUUCUCCCUUUUCACAGUGAGGGUCCUGACAAUAAAACUCAGACCAUCAAGGUUGGCAACAAGUGCUCUACCUACUGAGCUAUCUCACCAGACUCUCAAUCAUGAUUUUCCAUGAAAUAUUUCAAUCAUCUUUUAGUUGUGGAGUUGAUAAGAUUAAUUUUCAGUGUUAGAGAGAUGUUUGUUUUUAUUUCCCAUCAUUUUGUUGACUUUACUGCAUAUGAUCUUUUCUUAAUCUUCAUAUGCCUACCGGAUGUCUACCAUCUGUAAUAUUUACCUAUAGUCUAUUGUAUAUGUUUAUUAUUCCUUCCAUUAUCAUUUAUAGAGGUAGUGCAAUGAUCAUGGUCAUAAAUUCUUCCAGUCUGAUUUUAUCAUGGAAUGUUUUUCUUUCUCCUUUAAUCAUGACAGAUAGUUUUGCUGGGUAUAUUAGUCUAGAUUCAUAGUUGUAGUCCUUCAGAAAUUGAAAUACAUCAUUGCAAGCUCUUCUUGUGUUUAAAAUUUUAUGGGCCUACCUAUAUAUGUGACUUAAUAUUUCUCUAUAUAAACUUUUCAUACAUUUCCUUCAGUAUUAGUAUUCUAAACAUAAAAUGAUAUGAGGAUUGUCUUUUCAAGUCCUGCCUAUACAUUCUGUAUUCCUCUUGUAUUGGGAAAGACCUGUUUUUCACUAGAGUUGGAAAUUUUUUUGCUAUGGUUGCCUUGAAAGUAUUUUAUAUGCUUUCAGUAAUGAUCUCUAUGAACAUAAUUCAUAUAUUUGAUGUUUUAAGACUAUCACAAAGAGUUUUCAUUUAUAUAUAUAUAUAUAUAUAUAUAUAUAUAUAUAUAAUGGAAAAUGAAAAAUACUUAUCUCAAAAAUUGUCAGUGUACUUAAUUAGAUAUGCAAAUUCUGCAUUGUCUUUAACCCCUGAUAUGUGACCUUCCAGGUAUUCCAUUCUUUCAGUAAGGCUUUCCUCCAAUUUUUUAUUUGAUUCAUUUAACUUCUAACAUAUAGCAUGUCAGAUCGUGUUUUCUGUAGCAUGUCUAAGCCAAUUUUCACACCCUAUAUUGACUGCCUUAUUUCAUUCAGAUAUUUACUCAUAUUUGUAUACAUUCUUUUAAAUACACUUAAAAUUGCUCUUUUGAAAUAUUUGUCUGAAAAUUGGCCUAGAUUUUUUGUUAUUUGAGGUUACUAUUCCAGUGUUGGAAUAAUUUUUGGUGAUGACAAGUCUCUCUCUCUCUCUCUCUCUCUCUCUCUCUCUCUCUCUCUCUCUGUGUGUGUGUGUGUGUGUGUGUGUGUGUGUGUGUGUGUGUUGCCUGUGUUUUUCUACUGGAAUUUUAGUAUCAGGAAUUUAACUGUUGUGGGGUUCUUUCUUUCUUUCUUGGGUCAUCUUUCUUCUUUCAGUGGUAUCAUUAGCAAUGUUCUAAAAACAUUAGGUUAUCAUAUGAUUGAGGUAUCAUUUUAUUCUUUUGGGCUGGGUAUUCAGGUUAUCAAGUUAUGUCCUCAGAAUUCCCUUGAGGAUAAAUAACUGUCUACAACAUUGUACAGUAUCUAGGGGUAUGCCCCUUAUUUGGGAUUUCCUUCUGUUGUCCCUAGUAUUCCUAUUUCAGCUGCCUUGUCUUUGGAAGUUCCUCUGUGUUUCAUGGCCACCUUCCUGUCUUCUCUACUUCUGAAGACUCUUCUAGAUCUGCCACAGGGACUAGCUCUGGCUCUGGCAAUUACUCUUAUUCUGGUUCUGGCUCUUACUCCAGAAUUGGCUUUGGCUUUGGUUAUGGUUCUAUACAAGACACUGGUUUGAGCUGUAAUUUAUAUCUAUAACUGAUUGUAUAAGUGUGUUCCUACCAUUCAGAAUAAUUUUAUUGCAUUGAAUGAAUGCUUGAGUGGGUACUGGGUGUUUCUUCAGGUUAGUUUGUCUUGGAUUAGCUAGAUGCUGCAUGAAGUUUCGUUCUGAGAUAUUGUAGAUUCACAAGUGGAGUAGCUGUAGUGAUCCAAGCUUGACAGAACGACACAUGCACACAAGUCUUUCACUUCAUAGUGAGAGCCAGCUUAAGGUACAGAGUAAUCAACUCUUAUCCUCACCUUGCAGGAAUGUUGGAACUCUCUGAUAUUAUUACCCAAGAGACCACUACUCCCCAUGAAGCCAGACAUUGAUUCCUCAGAUUGGGUCAGAGACAAUAUUUGUCUCUUACUUUUGGAGCCCAAAGAUGCUCAUGCAGAUGAAUCUCCAGCCAGUUUACUACUUUAGCCAAUCAUCAUAGGCAGAGAUGAAUACACAAAACGGCAUACAUAAAAAUUGUUUUAUCAAUUCUGGGUGCACUCUUAGAUGGUAAGUGGAAUUUUUUCCCAAAGAACACUGAGAUUGCAUAGUAUAUUUGGGUUGGUUAAAUGUUCAUGUUUAUAACGUAUAUUUGGGUUGGUUAAAUGUUCAUGUUUAUAACAUGAUAUGUUUGUAUCUAAUAAAUACAUUUCAUAAAACCAUCUCUCAUGUGUACAUAAAAUGUAACGAAGACCUCUCAGAAUGUACUCAAGUUCAAAUAUAAGAAGAUAAGUCUUUAUUGUCCUUCAAUAAAUGUGUCACCCAAACAGUAUUGAUGGUGGAGAUAGUAGAGAUCAUUUAUCUCGUUUUAACUGGCUUUGCCAUGUGAUUCAAGAUUAAUCCAAAUGGCUUUCACAUCCCAAGCAUUGAAAUAAAGAUGAAACCAAAAUCAAAAAUCAAAAAUCAGGCUAUGUGAAAAGGAAAAUAAAAUGAAGCAAGUGAGCAUGGUGCUAAACAAGAUCUGAACUUCAAUGUUACAUAACCAAACAACAGCUCAGCAUAAGGCUCAAUGCAGCCCUCACAUGGCAGGUGUUUCUAAGGCACCUUCUUCAUAAUUUUUCACAAACAGCACAAAAAUACCCACAAAUAAGACCAUGAACUCUUUUACUAGACACUCUCCAAAUUACAUAAGUGAAUGAGUAAGUAUUCUUUACAAGUAAUGCCAGGUCAAAAUUCAAAAGUCCUUUUGUCAGUAAGGGUUGGUAAGUAGUUGUCUGUAAGGGUUGUCAGGCAACUGAUGCCAAGAGUUAGAGAAUCAUGGAAAAACUCCCCAAACUUGGGGAUUACCUUGCAUUUAACUACAGCAGUCUGAAGCAAAUUUGCCUCCUGCCUGGUGUGCCGAAGUUGUUACCAGGGGGACUAGGAUUCACUAACUAGUUGCAUCUUUAGAUACAUUAAGAAACAGAUUAAUAAAAGGAAAAUGCAUUUCUUUGCAGUUUGUCCAAGCCAUGGAAAGACAAAUCAAGUUUUUCUUUGCCUUUUCUAUAGCAGUUUCGAGUCAAUAGAAAACAUUACACAGUAGCCAAGAGAGAUAGAUGUGUUGGUUUACACCCUGGAACUAUGAGAAAUCUCUCUGUAUGAGUAAAGUUUCUCUCCUGUGGAGAGCUAGGUCUAUAGAUACCACUUUUAUCCCCAUUCCUUCCUCUGAUGAUUUUGAAAUAUUUCUUUUCCUGUUGUCAAAAGUAAACUUUGUUCAUUGUAAGAGAAAUAAGAAAAACUUUAUAAAUAAGUUUAUCAAUAAUUCCAUAUUCAGAGAUAGCUAGAAUUGACAUUUGAAUAUAUAGCUUUUUUUAAUUUGUAAGUGGGCAUGUCAGUUUUAAACAUACACUCAAUUAUUGAGUAAAAUUUCAAUUCAGAGACUUUUAUUUCUUUUAAUUUACUGUUAUAUGCUGUGUUUUUAAUUUUAGAUAUGUCCUUUAGUUGAAGUUUUUUGUUUUUGUUUUUGUUUUUUUUCUCAAGAGGCAAAACUAAAUUUUCUAAUAAAAUUCCUUCAGUCAGGAACAAUCUUUCUUUUAGGCUUUCAUCCUUUUCUUUACCUUCCUGCACUCCCACCAGCAGCCAGGACCAUUUGUUAGACAAGAAUGGAUGUUUAAUAAAGAUGUCCUGAGCAGAACUGAGUGGAAGGCUGUGGGAUGCACCAGUAAGAGGCAGACUGAGUGCCUAGCCUUCCUCUCUUAGUCUUGCUACAUACAGGAUAUCACAGCUUGAAGUGAGCUGUGGAAGGUUCCUUGGCUGGGUGCACAGCAACACACCUGCUGAGUUACAAGCCUGAUGAAUCAUUUGCCUGGUUAUCUUGCUAGUCAUGCUGAACUGAAAGCCACUUUCAAAACAUAACAGGCCAAGCAGGGACUCUCUUCUGGGCUAGUGUUUUCUCUACAAAUAGUCUCCUUAUCACUUUUUAAACAUCUACAAUAAUACAAAAACAGUAUUCAAAGCCAUUCCCCACCACCACUGACUUUUGUAAAGAGAAUUGUGUUGCAUGUUGCUGAGCAAGUUAGGAUUGACUCCUAGCUUUAUAUGUCCAGUAAAAGCAAGCAAAGCCAUCCAUCACAGGAUAAACUGAUAAGCAGGCGUAAAGCCUAGCCAGGUAUUUCCUUUGAGUGACAAUCCAAACAAAACCUCUUUCUAAACUUGUUCUUUUUUUAAAAAAGUUUAAAUUUACAUUUAUUUGUAAAUUUAUUUACUUAGCAGGUCAGAUGGGUGUUGUGCAUGCUCCAUGGCACUAUAUGUGGAGAUCAGAGAGCCAGUUCUCUCCUACCAUGUGAGAUCCAGUGACAGAACUCGGGUCAUUGGGCUUGGCAGCGUGCACCUUUACCUGCUUAACUGUCGCACAUGCCCAUACUUGUUCUUCAUAUGCCCUGACAAGUCCUCAAUAAUCUAAAUACUAAUGGACCUGAUCACUUGUGUUUUGUCUUUUAAUUUACUUCCUUGAGAAACUUAAUGGCCAUUUGCUACAGCUCCUGAAUUUCCCCUCCCUUCUGUUUCAAACUUCCUUAUGGAUCUCCUCCCCUUAUAGAGAUGAUCUGUGAAGAUGACUGAAAAUAAUCAACAACAUAAUCUUAGUAACUAGACCAAAGGCCUAAUUUUGGCAUCAGGGACCUCUGUUUGCCUUGCAUGAUGUAAGGUCUUCAACUGGGUCAAUUAUGGUUCAGAAUCAACCCCUACUUAAGAUGUUCAUUGGACUACUGUUGGCCUAAUCUUCCUUACACAGCUUGGUCUGCUAUACAUUCAGCUAACUCCUCCCAUUUGAAGAGAUCCAUAGGGAAGACUGGGACACAAGAGAGUUGCAGCAAAGGAACACUAGCUUUUGCAAGGAAGUAAAUUAAAAGACAAAACAAAAAUCACCAGGCAGCUAAAUGAGAAGGUGUACAUGGAGGCCAUAAUCUACUUUCCAAGCCCCCCCCACCACCUCUAUUGUUUCAUUUGGUACUUAUUCAUUUUGAGGAAACAUUUCAUAUCUCCAAAGAAGAUUAACUUUCUCAGGGUCAUCCCAUAGGUUUCUUUCUUUUCUUCUCACACUCCCUGAUUCUUUUGUUCCUCUAUUCUAAAUAACUUACUAACAUUUGACAUCACAUUAGUGUUUCUACUUAACAGCAUUUAGUGUAUUCUUUAAUAACUCAAAAGGAAUUACAAUUGUGUUUAAAAAGAAAACACAGCCAUAAAUUAUUACCCUGAAUUUUACUUAAAAGUAGGAUCUCGUUUCUAUUGUCAAACAAACAAUUCAUAAAUUCAAACACCCCAAAGAUGAAAAGAUACCAAAAUGGCAGCUAGUCUAUACCCUGGUUUUUUGGGUUUUUUUGCAUUCAAAGUGUUGUUAAUAGGGACUCUCUUGAGAGUGACUUCAGUGAGAGUAACUUCAAUUCUACUAGAAAAUUCAUGGUAAAUGGUAAUAGAAAGGAGAAAAUGUCCCAAAGAGAUGAUGACUCCCACUGGGAACAGAAGGCAGAAGCCCUAAGAUGAGUGUCCCCUCUCAGAAAAGCCAAGAGAGAAACUCCCUACCUGAGACUGGUGUAAACAGACUAUGGAUUUCUCUGUGUAAGACUGCAAGCUGGGCAUGGUGGUGCAUGCCUUUAAUCUCAGCACACUCAGGAGACAGAAGCAGGUAGAUCUGAUCCGUGUGAGUUAGCAGCCUGGUUAGCUGCCUGGUCUACCAAGUGACUUGAAAGACAGCUAGGAAAGCAGAGAAAGAACCUAUUUGAAACAAAACAGAACAGAACACAGGAAUGCCAAGGAGCAUUCUGGACUCAGAAGAACAUGUAACAGUUUGGAAAGACAGGAGUUAACUGGGCUAACCCUGUACACAGAUGGUUCGCUAUGGAACAACCAUGAAUUACAGGAUUUCCUACAGCCCCUCUUCCUUCUACCCAUCUUAAGGAAUGUAGCAGGUCUACAGGCCCAAAUCCCAGACCUUCCUUCAGGUUGUUGGUGUGAACAGUGGGAAGAGCUGAACAUCGGUGUGAGCUGGUAAAGACAGUAGCUGGAGAGAAAGCUGAUGAGAAGACAGGAGGAGUCAGGCAUUAAUGAGCUUGCAUUCAGUAAGAAGCUGUGCAACCAAAAUCUAUUUUGGGAAAGAACAGCUACUAUUCUUGUGGGAAUUUCCUAUAAGGACAGAAACAGAGCAAUAAUUGGGUUGUUGGGUUGUUUGUUUUGUUUUGUUUUGUUUUCUUCUGUAGUGGGGGUGUUCUCUCACAGUGGCAUCUUCUAAAACAUAGGAAUCGUUAUGAUUCCUACGGAGGGCCAGGCCUACUUUAAGGGCUGGACACUGUCAUAGUACUUCAACUUGCCACUGUUACUUGAAGGCAGAGAAUAGAUAAACAGGGGUGACUAUAUUUCCAAAAACCUUCUUUUUUUUGAAACAAAACAAUUGUUUAAACACUUUGGUCUGUAGUCCCAUUAUUUUCCCACCCAUUCUUUUAUGCAUGAAUCUUUGAGUCACUUUUUCCUCUGACCCUUUCUGCUAAUCUAUGUCAUGUCAUGAAGACAAGGCCAGGUAUCCCAGUGGUCACAUGAGGAUAAAGUGGCAGUGCAGGGGACAGAGGAAGCAGUGGAGGUUACAUCAAGGGAACCUGCCUGUCAGAAUAGAACAAACUGUUACUUCUCCCUCUAUAUUUUUGUUGUUUCUUUUGUUUGUAGCCCAUGCUGAGCUUGAACUCAUAGCAAUCCUUCCCCAAAGCCUCCUGAGUUCUGAGAUUAUAGUUGUGUAUCACCACACCCAGCUCUGUUUAUUGCUUUUGAUUGUGGUGUCCAAGAAUGAUCACAAAGGGCAAGUUUUACAAUGAAAACUGUAGCUCAAGAAACAAAAAGGUAGAGAGAAGCUGAGACACGGUGACUCCUCAGCCAAUUGACACUGGGAACUUUGAGGAGCUGAAAAAGAAGUGACAGAUAAGAAAAGUAGCAUUUGGGAGCAGGGUGGCCUGGAUUGGACUAGAAGGGGGCUUGUGUUGUGUUGUGGUUUUAUUUAACAAUUAUCAUUGACUUCAUCAGUUUCUAUAAAACUUCUACACAAUAGUUAGAAAGCAAAGGGGAACAGUAAACAGCAUUUGGAGGUUGGAGAGAUGACUCAGUGGUUAAGAACACGGGUUCCUCUUCCAGAGACAGGGUUUCAAGUCCAAACCCCCACAUAGUGGCUCACAAUCAUCUCUAACUCCAGUUUUAGAAGUUAAAACUACCUCUUCCAUCCUGCAAUGGGCACCAGGCACACACAUGGUACACAGACAUACAUGUAGGCAAAACACUCGUAUGAAUAAAAUAAAAAUUAAUUAAAAAAACGAAAGAAGUAGGAUUAGACUAUCUUUCAGAGGGACAAGUCACAAGGAGUAAGAAAAUCUCCAGGGAGAGGGGGAGACCAUGUUUGGCUAAGGAGCAGCUGGCUCCCAAAGAGCAGGAGGUCCCUUGGCUUCUUGAUACGUAGGAAGAAUUUGGAGGCUACGGCAUUGACCAUUUUUGCACCAACACACAUUUCUUGAGUCAUGGAACGCAUUAGAGACAGGAAGGAAAAGCUCAGCUUUGCCUGAGGAUAGAUUUAUAAUUUCAGGGUGAGGCAGGCCUGCACUUUGAGCUGUCUCUUAUAGAUGAUACUUCUCACCCAUUUCAUCCCAUUUUCACAGGAAUUCAGACAUACCUGGAGGCGAGCAACUUCAAUUUUCUAUCAGACAGUAGGAUCAACUGAAUAGAUGUUUGUCAUGUUUUGCAAAGGAUCCAGAUUAUUUAGAAGCAUCCCAUUGGCUGGUUAAUUCACUUUUUACCUUAAUAGUUGCAAUUCUCAGAAACAAAUUGAGGUAGUCAAAAAUCAGUAUACAGUUUUCCAGGAGACUUUCCAAGAAAUGGCUGUUUCCUUCUUGACUAAUUAGCCACUGUGUAGUGAGUAAUAUGAAAUGCCCCUUGUCAUGCUGGUUUCCACAAGGCAAACUGGUUAUAUUUCUUGGGGGUUUCCCACCUUCCUCUCUGGUGAUAUUAACUAACAGUGUGUUCUCUGCCAAACGCAUCAAUUCUCAAAGAAAGCCCUCUCCACAUUCAACGCCCAUUAUUUUUUCUAUAAGUUACAGCUUUUAUUUACAGAAUAAUUAAAUUUCAACCUACAAGAAAAAAAUGUAAUCCACACUGUUUUGUACUUGAAGCACCGAAAACACAGAUGAUACUGUGAUUUGACCAAUGUCACACAGCUAUGGCUAGUUAGUUGGAGGUGAGAGCGUACCCUCCUCCCACCUCCCCACAGCACUCUCUAUCACCUUGUUCCAUCUCAUCUUUCAUAUAAAAAUCUGCCAUAUCAUUUUACUUCCUAUAAAAACUUACAGCCUACUGGAUUGCACGAUCAAAUUCUUGAAUUGAAUAAGUGCAUGGUAGACGAAACAUGACUUCUAGAUCUCUCCCUAAAAUAAGAACAGUUCUCAUCUGUCUCCUUUGGGACCUAUUGAUCCUCAUGGGCUUAUCUGUAUGAUCUUGAAUAAAUUUCUUCCGUUCCUGUGAGCAUCAAUUUCUUCACCUAAACCUCAACAUCCUACUUUGGUACUCACCUAUACCAUUAUCGCUGGGAGGAUCAGGAGAUUCACCAUUUGCUCUUAGCCAAAGAUGGAAAAGAAAUGAUCAGUGAAGAAAAAGCUGGGGAGCUAUGUCACUCAUUCUCAAAGACACCUAAAUGUUCAAAGUCAUUAUGAUGACACUGCCAACAAAGCUAAAUAUCCUUUAAAUAGCACUCUGCAUUAGCACCAAAAUUCCCCCAAAGGAGCGAGAACUGGCCAUAUUGAGUUUAACCUGACAAUCUGGCAUUGAGAAAUACAGCUGAUAAAUCACCAUCAGAAAUUAGCCAGGUGCAAAGGAAAGAAGGGCUGAGUGGGAGGAGAGAUGAGGCUUAUAUAAUGCCAGCAAGAAAAAAAAAAAAACGUUGCUAAUGAAGGCCUGGCCAAAUGGUAGAGCAGGAGAAAGGGCUGGGGUUAUCCACACACAUUUGUGGCUGAAGUGGAAGGACUGUGUGGCCAGGAGGGACUCCCUCACCGGGGACCUCCAGGCCUCACAGAGCAGACCAUAACAAGUCUUUUCUGAGCCAUGACACAGAUUUGUCCUUUUGUCUCAGAACAAAACAGAUGAUACUGCUAUCAUGAGCCAUCAAAGGUCAACAACUGAGACAACUGAGAGGAGAACCAGUUUCUGUGUGUGUGUGUGUGUGUGUGUGUGUGUGUGUGUUUUUUAACAAGUACAUUUAUAUAGCUAUGUAUAUAGGUAUGCCCUUCUUGUUGGCCAGGGUGGUUACCAGAAAAACCCUUGUUAUUUUAAUUGGGACCUUCUGAAUAUGUGCAUGAUACUUGCAACUCAAAGUGGUGAUGUCAGUACUGGGAGUGGUUCAGAGUUCCCAGGCAGCCAGAGGACUAUUUCGGGCUCCCAAUCCUCCUGCCAAAUAGGGUAUAGGCCAAAAUAUUUCUUUUGCAUUUAUUUCGGGGUUUUAAUCUCAUGUGCAACUAAACCCCAUUAAAUGAGUUCCACUUUCCCAGGCCUAUCCCUUGCUUUCCAGGAAGUUCAACAUACAUAUGUCUACCCUGCUACUUCCUGCCUGGGAAGGGUGUUGACUAUCCUGAACCAAAUGGAACCCUCUUUCCAAGAUUCUUGCUCUAACUCAAGAGCUGAGUAUGUGACUCCGGGUCUCACUUCAGCCCCAGAGGCUGGCGAGACAGGCAGGGGAAUUGGGGCAAGAGGCAGUAGCCUUUUUGCUCCCCUGCCAAGCACAGGAGUGGGCUUCCCAUGGCUGCUCCUCAGCCUCAUUUCCAAUCACUCACCAUGGAAGGUAAUGGGAAAGUGCCUGAAUUACAAAGAUGCCCAUUUAUUACCCAGGCUGCUCCUCCACAAAGCAUCUCUUUUCCCCUUUGGCAAGAACAGAUCACUAUUGACACUUUUAGAAGGCCCUGGGCCCCUCUCAAUUAUUGGCCUAAUCGCUGCCUCCACUGAAAGCAGGGUUCUUUCCUAACUAGAUUUUUUAGAAAGUUAAGAGGCUAGUCUUUGCUUUAUUCAUUGGAGUGACUUCAUGGGCUAAUGUAUUCUCCCGUCAGUAUUUUACAUCAAUUCAGCAACAUCUGCAGGAUAUGAAAAAAACAGAAACCAGAUGUUUCCAAAAGGUAGUUUCACUCAUCCUCCUUACCAUAAUUAUUGCAGUAUUGCAUCCACAUUUUAUUGUAUCUCUCCUAUAUUUAUAUGCUGUUAACUUUUCCUGUAGAAAUUAAAACUGGUGCAUCUGAGUUCCUUCUAAACAGAUUUGUGGUCUUAAAAAAAUAAUUGACAAAUAUCCUCCAUUAAAUCCAGAUUUCCUUUAUCAAAUCUUGGAGAGGAAAAUAGAUUAAGAAGAUGUGGAUAUUUAUCUCAACCUUCAACAUUUACACUCAUUUAGUUAAUUAGCACUUAAUUACACUGUCAAAGGGGAAAAUGUUACCAUGGACAGGACACAGUGGGCCCCACCCCUCAGGCCCAUGCUUCUACUAAAAGGCAGACCUUUGCUUAGAGCCAGCUUGCUCCUACAUGAAACAUUUGUAAUGAUUACUUGACAGGGGGUACAGAUACCAGAUUGCGCAAGAGAGAGCCAUCAUUCACUAGAGCCUGGAUAGCACUCCCAAGCUGGAGCAACAGUGCCCCCCAAAGCAAGUUGCCAGAAGCAUCCAGAGAGCAAACUCUGAGCUGCUCAAAUGUCUAAUUCUUUUUGCUUUACAAGCCAAGGAGCUAUUUUAAGAACUGCUGGCCAAAAGGCAGCCUCUAUCACAACCAGAUGAGCAUUCCAACCAAGCUGGGGAGCCACGGCUGAAAACGGAGACUGUUUCCACCUAUUUUAACUCAGACGCCACGAAUUCUCUGAGGAGGGCACAGAGGCUGGAGUGGAGAGAGCAACAGAGACAUAGAGAAGUGGACAACUUUAGAAGUUUGUCAAACUUGAGACAACAAAAUAUAAUUAGCUUAACAAAUAAAUCUUAUUAACUGAAAUGCAAUGAAAAAUCUGCUUGUCAUCAGGGUUUCUCCAUCUUUUAACAAAUGGCAAUGGUUUUUGGUCUCACAGGUUCUUUGCCAAGUAGAAGACCUCAUUAAAGCUGUUGGAAAAUAAUAGAAUUCUAAUUAGCUAAUUAUGAUAUGAAAAAUUAUCAACCCAAUUCACAAAAACAAUAUGCAAUUAACCUUUUUUUCUUAAGUCAAACUAUUUUCCAAAACAGGAAAUGAAGGAUAACACUCUUAAUUUCAUCAUGAGGGCGAAACUCCUAGACACCCUGAUGCAGUGGUGUAAUGAGCAUGUAAUGAAACCAACAGUUCCCACUCCCCAGCAACUCCCUUUGUGUAUUGACUGCACAGCCUUUUGGCUCCAAGAAUGGAAACUGCAUUAAACUGGAGGCUCAUUCAGAUUUUCCCUCUCAAGUUCUAAGUCCUGUUUUCUAUUUUCCUUUCUAUCUUGGAAUAGGAUCCCCUAUAAAAGAUGAAAUAUUGCUUUCUUAAAAGACAAUGAACUUAUGAUGUAAUGUCAACAUGCUUGAGUUCUUACACUGCUAUUGGGAUUAUUAAAAAGGGAAAAUAAUGUAGUAUUGGAAUUAAGGAAUGUAAGCCAGGAAGUCGGAAAUCUAAAAUUUUGAAAUCAAACUACAUAAUCAAUAACACAAUAGUAAAAUCUAUGGCAGGACAAUAUAUUGAUUACUUGGGAUGUAGAAAUGUGUUACAAAUAUAUUUAAAAAUCUUUCUCACUCCCUAAAAAGUCUUCACAACAAAAAUCAUACCCAUAUAUGCCUAUUAGAAUUAGAAACAAUGAUAAUAGAAAGUGUUUGUAGAGAAGGGAAGAAAUCAGAACCCUUUUUGCAUUUUUAAAGAAGAAUAUAAGAUACUAUCACUUUAAAAAACUGUUUUCUGACAUCUGUUAAAUAAGCAAAUAUGUUCUAACUGAGUACACACAUCUAUCAAAGGCAUGUACCAGGAUGUUUAUAACAGCUUUAGUCAUAAUAUCUUGAGAGCUGACACAACACAAAAUCUAUCAAGAGUAAGACAAAUUGUGAAAUAGCCACACUUCUUCUUAACCCAAAAGAAUGCAUGCAGUGCUUGCUUAUAUUUUGUUCAAAAGUAAACAAAAUUAAUCAAAGGGACAAAGGGUAUCAUGAUAGUUGGGGAAAUUUUAGCUAGUGUACCCAGAAAGCUUCUCAGGGGGUGAUAUUUGAACUGAGGUGUGCUAAUGACAAUUGGGUAGAAUCUGGGACAGAAGUUCUGUGUGGAGAAUGAAAGGCAAGUGCCAAGGAUUAAUCACUCCUGGAAGAAGAUAAGAAAGAUGUCUAGCGUAUGCUGGCAUUAUAUUGAAUCCAGGUGGUAGAUUGUGUGUGGGGGGGGGGAAUGUUUACAUAUACAUAUAUAUAAUGAUAAAUAUCUAUGAGAAUACAAUAUGCCAAGUACUUAAGUUGUAGGUAUGCUAUACAAACAAUAUAUGUAAAAAUCUCCCACCCCCUAAAAUACCUCCACAUGUAUGCCUAUCAGAAUGGCUGAAAUUAAAAGAAUUAUAUUAGCAACUGUUUGUAAAGAAAGGAAGAAAUUAGAAGCCUUUUGCAUUUUAGAUGGGAAAUGUAUCUGCUCAUGUAACUUAACAAGUAAUAUUUGUGUGCUUUAUGUAUACCCCCAAAAAAGAGUAAAAGCAAAGACCAAUAUCCAUUCAUAUUCCAGGCCACGUCUUCUACCUCAAAACUCAGCUUUCAUUUAUUUUGCCCCAUCCCCUUUAUAGACUCCAGUUUAGCCUUUGUAUCUUUACCUUGUAAUGUACUCAGCACAUGGUGACCAUACAGAACUUCUCUCCUAGAUUCCCUGAAAUUGUUGUAAGUAUAUCUGAAUACAAAUGCUACCUCCUGAAAGGAUUUCUGACCAUCCUUGCCAAUAUUCUGGUACUACUAUCUCUCUGUAGUCUGUUGUCCUACUUAAAAUUAUUCUCAAUUUUGACCCUACCUUAUCUUAUCAUGUUCUACAUAUCCUGAUUGCUUAUUUGUUGACUUUGAGUGUCUACUAAAAUGUAUGCUCCUUGAGAGAGUGGACAAAUGCUGUCCUAUAUGUUACUGUACCUCUAGUGUCUAGGAUAGAGUCCAGUAUUUAGUAGAGAGUCAAAACAUACUUAAUGAUUGAGGAGAAUAGACAGAUUGUUUCCCUCAACAACUAACAGAAGGGGACAGGGUUGGUUAAUCAAAACUAAGAAUAUAUGAAAAACCCCUAUGGAAAGCCACUACUUUGUAAGAUAAUUGAGAAUACAAUUAAAACUAUAGACAGAGCUCAAACACAGAUACCCUGCAAGGGUAGAAAACGAUUCCCCUAGAAGAUAUGAAUUAUUAAAUGAAAAUCUCUCAGUACCAGGCAUGGGAUACUUGCCUAUAAGUUACUGAUCAGAGAGACCCUCAAGAAGUCCAUCAAAAUGACAUGUCUUUUGCCGCUACUCUUGGCAUCAGAAUCAGAUGGUAAAAUCUUAUUCUGAAAAUACAACCUAUUUCAGUUGCAGGACAUAGAGAAAUAAAGUUGGCAAUUACUGAAAACUUUCUCCCUGCUGACUAGCUUUCAUAGUGAUGAAAAGUGAUACCCAGGGCCCUCUUCAGAGAGAAAAUACACCAAUGGUAUUCCUGAAGCUAGCCCUGCACAUCAUGAUAGCAAUGAGCAGGCAAAUGUUCCUAUGAGUACAGUAGUAGCACAAGGGUUAUGAGUACAACUAAUCACUUUCUGAUUGAAUUUGAGCCUAUUCCACAGGUAAGAAUUUAGGUCUGGUUCUGAAAGCCUGGUCAAAAGCUCUGAGAGUCAUAAACUCUAGAGAGUAACUUACUACUGCUGUUGUUCUAAAAGAAAAAAAGACAAAGGCUAAUAAAUAUGGUAAAAUGAACAAGGUAAAAUGACUGGGGAUUCUGGGUAGAUGAACAUGUUUGAUAGUUACCUACCUAAAUCUGGUUGAAAGGUUGGACAGACAAAUGAAAGUAUAAUUAGCAAUCCAAAACAGCGAGGAACCAGAGGAGUAACCUCAGAAGAGGAAGCCUCCAAGUUAGGUCAGCAUAGUUAAGGGACUUUGCAGAAGAACUGACAACGCUCUGUAGAAGGAAGAGAAAUCAGUAGAGACAGCCAUAGAUCCUAAAUAAUGAAGUUGGGUCAACAAUGAACUGAGAUAGGAAAACCCUAUGAUUUGGGCUACCUGGUUCCCAAACUGACUUUGUUCUUAUUUUAGUUACUGUUCUGUUUUUAAAGAAGGUUUUGGAUGGGGCUUAAUAAUGACCAGCAAACAAUCCUUCUCCAGACAUCAGCAGCUUAUAUAAUGGAUUAAAUGUAUACUUACCUUCUUGAGCCUAUGGUCUGAAUCAACUAUAAGAAAUUUUAAUAGUGUCACUGGCAAGAUGGAAAUUUAAAGAAUAUAUUCCUUAUAGGGAAAUGGAACUGUUGCAUAUGAAAUAGACCAAAAUCUGUGAAAAUAUCAAAACAAAACAAAAACUAAUUUCGAUCUAUGAAUCUUUCUAAAUAAAUGUUCUUUUUCCCCUCAGAGUAGAAAGGAAUUCUUUGACCAGAUUGAGCACUUUUUUCCAAGGGAGAAGUAUGCAUGUGUGUACACAUGUGUACACAGUGUGUGUGUGUGUGUGUGUGUGUGUGUGUGUGUGUGUGUGUGUGUGUGUGUGUGUGUGUACUAGAUAAGCUCAGACUACCAGGAGAACUGUGCAAGCAAAGGCGAAGAUAAAGUCUGCUGAUGCCAAUUGUUCUUCAUUUGAAUACAGCUUGGAGUUGGAGCUGGAAAAAAAGCAGCAGGGCUUGAUUCAGUUGUUAUGUUUUCAGAAAUGAUUCAUUUCCUUUCACUGCACAGCUGGAAGCUCAGAGAUGAAUACUUUGGAAUAGGGGGUUCAGUUGGAAGCAAUUUGCCUCUGAGCUCAUAGACGGCUUAUCAGCCAUCCAGACCUGAGGUUAGGAUAGAAGAUUGGCAGUGACACCCUUAGGUUAUAAAACCAACCACUGAGAUUCCAGCAGAUUUCUCCAGUGGACUCUCCUUCUGUCCACAGGGCUGGAAAAGUGGGGACUUGGCUCUACAGGACCCACCUUAUGAGUCCCUCACUUGUGUUUCCUUUUGGGCAGGGAGUUGGCUACAAUUUUUCAGAAAAACAUCAAGGGCUAAGGAUAUUACUGUUUGAAAAAUCUUUGUGUUCCCAUGAAUCUCGGGAAAGUUCCAGCUACCACACAUUGCAGAUGAAUCCCCACAGUCGGGACACUUAGUGCAUUUACUUAGAGUCAAGUAUAAAGAGGAGAGGUGAAGAAAAGAUGAUAGAGAAUAAGAAAAUACCUUCCAUGAUGUGAAGUGGUAGGAAAAACACCACACAAAAUAUUAAAAUUCUGCUUUCACUGUUUGUGCCAGACUGUGUCUAUAUCUUGCCAAUGAAUACUUGCUAUGUCUCACUUUUAUUUAAAAUGAUUCUCUGAAACAUAUAGUAUAUGACAUCAGUUCUCCACUCUGAAUCAACAGCUCCAUGAUGAGGAUAAACUGUUCUAUCUGGAAGUUGCCAUUUAAAAGUUCAUGCCAUGCACAGUUAAUCUCACUAUUCAGCUCCACCCACAACUACCUUUACAAAUCUUUCUCUUUGCAUGGAAAAAAUCAGCCACCCUGAGUUUUUCGCUAUUCCCUGAAAACCAAGUGAACCCCUUCCUCUGAGCAUUUGACCCUAUGUCUCUCAAACAAUACUAUCACCUUCUUUGCCAUUGUCAUUUCUCUAAAUACUUCUUGACCCAAGCACACAUCAUUCCUGGCCUCUUUCUUUUAUAUUCACUGAGAGUGUCCUUGAUGAAUCAAUGGUUGUGCACUUUCCGGUGUUCCCACCACAGUUGAUACAUGCCAUCCAUAGUUAUUGUUAAGCAUGUUAAUGGAAACACUAAACGCAAAGAAACUUCAGCUCGGGCAAAACUGGGACAUAGGCCAUCUUCAUUAGGUCCUUCUGGCAUCCAGCUUUCAAAUCAAUCCCUGUAAGUUCUGCUUCUAAACUAUAGGCCUAAUCUAACUUUUCUUGUUCCUCACCUUGUCACUGCUUCCACCCCUCCAUCACUGCUCAUCUCACAUCAAAAUGUGUCCUGGUUUUCCUGUUUGUCCCUAACUUUUCCCUUCUGCACACCAUAACGAAAUGGUAAACUGGGUCAUCUCAAAUUCUGUCUGAAAACUCUCCAGUGUUUUCCCACUGUUCUUAAAAGGAAGCCUGAGUCCUGGAUAGCUUCAAGGUCCUAUGUGUGUAACAUUUGCCCUUCUCUGUAUCAUCUUCCCUAAGUUGCUCUUUCUCAUUGCAUUGUUAUCACAUAGGUCCCUAAAUUGCUCUACAAAGGUCUGCAUUCUGACCCACCUUAAAGCCCUUUGCCUGACAGUUAUUCAGUUGGGAAUUCUCCUUAUUCAUUUUAAACAAAGGUCUAUCUUGUCAUCUCUCACAUUUCAGCUCAAAAUUCCCCAUUACAUAGAAAAAAUUCUGAUCACCUCAUUUAAGGCCAUCUUAUUCACAUCAUUAUGACCAGUUGCAGCAUCCUGUAUGGCCAGGUUCCAUUAAAUACGUUUUGCCUUCCUGAUUAGCUUCUUUGUAGAUGUUCUGAUUUAUUUUUAACUGGAUAUUCAAAGUGGGUCCUCCACAGAAUAAUAGAAUUUUCGUUGUAUAUCAGCUGCCUCUCUGGUUCCUUGCCCUGUGAUCCCUGGAUUUCCAUCCAUAUUUCAUUCCAGGGUCUUCUCUCUCGAGGUCACCAUCUGGAAAUUUUCUUGAGGUUGUAACUUCAGUAGAAGAGGGCUCAUCUGACCUUGUCUCUCAGCAUCAUUGUCCUUUGAUGCUAUAUCCAGUGUGUCAAAAUAGCAAUUUUUUGUACUUUUUAAUAUCUAACUGUUGUGAGAAUAGAGAAUGUCCAGUCAAUUUUACUUGAUUUGGUCUGGAAGAAGAAGUCCCUUGGUGUAUAUGAACAUAACAUAAUCCAAUUCCUCAAGCUCACUGUCUAAGGAAUAAUUAUAAUGGGUAAUAAAAUGGUAAGUAGAUGGGGUGGGAAAGAGAGAAAGAAAAAUGUAUCAUUAAAUCCCACACCUUAGCUAUCCUGGGUUGGUUAUUAGGAAGUAGAAAAGGAAAUUGUGGUCGUGUUAAUUAUUGCCUUAUUUAGAGUACAUGGCAUAUGUUGUGCUAAAUAGAACUUUUUCCAUUUGGGUGAGAAUGAAGUAGAGUUCAGUAAGGUGAAAGCAAACCUAACCCCUCUCAAGCCUCUUCUCUCCUUAAGUGAUGUGUCCCUCCCCACCAUGGAGGCCAUCUGUGAACACAAUAGAUGUGAGCACUUCACGGGGUGUGCUCAUUAUACCACAAACAUAGAACAGGGACUGGGCAACCACAGGGCAACACGGAAAAUUGUUUUAUAAGCCGACUUUUACAAAUUGAUUUCAAAACUGGGGAGCAAUUACCAUUAAGAAAAUAAUUUGCUGCUCUGAAGAGGGUAGGGCAAGGCAGUGGUUCAAAGAUAACCUAAGCCAUCAUUAGAGAAAUCCAGUUAUUUAGUCAAUUUUACUUAUUUACAGGACUAAAGAUUAAUGAGUACAGAUACUCUCUCAGACAGUAAUUAGGUUUCAAAAACAUACUAUAACACAAUCAAUCAUGGCUCUUGAACAUAAUGGCAUUAGGGCAGAGCCCUCUUUCAGCUCCAGUUAUUAGCGAGUGAUUGGUGAACAGCGAGCUUAUGCUCAGAGCCCACCCCAGGGCCCUGCAAUAAAAUGAAAGAAAAGCUUUGGAAAAUAGAACGCAUCUUUUAUCCUUUGUUCUUUGCCUGCAUAUUCUGAGCUACUAUACUCAGGAAUCUGGAACACAACUUCAAGAUUGGUAGCAUUUCAAUAUAGUUGGCAAUUUACUCUUGAUUUGUCUUUACUUGAUAGCCUACCUCUAUAUAGUUAUUUGAAUCUAGUUUGGGGGGUAAUACUAUGCUUUUAUUUCUAAUUUUUAAAAUUUACUUUCUCUAGACCUUACCAAUAAAAAUAAGCUUGAGUUUUUAUAGAUAUAUUUAGGGCAGCAUAGCACCUAAGUAAAAGACAGAUGAAUGAAAAUAAUCAAGGCUAAGGCAUUUCUCAUAUCUGCCCUUAUUUAGAAAAGGACAGCUCCUCUGGUCACUAACCAGGGAUGCUGACUGAUGGUCUAAGUCCCAGACUCAUGAAUAGUAACUAGAAAAAAGGAAAGACCAGGACACUUUUGGAAUUUUCACAGAAAAGUUGCAAAAAUAAUGGAGUCCAAUGUUUCUACCCUCUGCAUGAUUCCUCUAAUGCCAAUGCCUCACAAGACUUUGACAUCUCUGCAGCUAUGAUAAAUAAGGUGCUAAGGCCAUUUCCUCCCCUUCUCCAUGUCUGAAGCAAGCUGUGAUGCUGGCUUCCUACUCUAAAGGGAAGGCAAGAAUGAAGCUCAAGAAAGUGUCUCUACUAUUAUCUGGACUUCUAUAAAGACUAUUUUCCUGUUAUGGUCCAUUUUAAUUUAGUCAUCUCUCCCCAAUUUUUAAUAACCAUUGCUCCCAUACUGCUUUUCUCCAUGACCUCAGUUUUAUAUCAAUGUAUCCAGCAAGCACAUCAGCUCACGCUGUGCUGCAGGCACACACUAGAUCCCCUCAAAAGACACAUAUGCUUUUCCUCAUGAAAUCACAGUGCCGUUGUUGAAUUUGUAAUUUUACUCUUCAUAUUUUUCCCUUGAUUUAUUCAAUGGUUAGCGUAUUUCUCUAUGGUUAUUUGUCUAGAGCUCAUGUACUAUUUUUAGAGAGUAUCAGACUUUCUCCUGCAUUUCAUCUUUUCUUACAGAUUAUGCCAUCUAUGGAAUUAAUAUAAGACUGUGUAAUGUGGGCUUUGAGCCACAAGAUUUAAAAAACAAUUUAAAAUAAAAAAUAUUAGUAUCAUGUAAUCUAACUAUUGUUUGAUUUCUGAAACAACAAACAAGUGGUUUUACUUGGCUUUCUUUAAACUAACCUUGUUUCUGUUUAGAUCUACAAAUCCUCCAGCAAUGUGAAAGUAUUUGGUGAAAAUAAAGUAACAGAGAAUUGAUACCUAUUUUCCUACAUAGCUUUUUCCAACUAAUUCUUCCCUAAGGGGAAAAGAUGUCUUUAAACUUUGAAAUUCAGUCAUGAGGUAGACAACUUCAGUAGAAAACUGAGACUUGCAUUUGAUGUUUGGUUUCUGUGAGACUCAAUCAGCUGCCAUUCUGAAUAAGCUGGAGCAAGUUUCUUAUGUCCUUUGCCAGGCUUCCUACGGAGACCAGUGCAAGGUCUGUGGAACUGCCAGGAUUCCAGCUCUAAAAAAAAAAGAGUUCUGUCAACAGGCAUUGAUUGCAAGUGCCAGUAAAGGCAACCCUUGAUGUGUCUCCCUACACGAAUAUGGCCAGCACUCUCAUGCACUAUAAGUCAGGCUUUCCUCAUUCGUUCAACAUUAAGAAGGGCAGAAAGUUGCAGGAGACCAGGAAAGAGUGCUGUCCCUACAGAAUGCCCAAUAAGCCCUUGGCAUCAAACUAUACUUGUUCAGAAAAAAAAUAGUAUAUGGAUCCUUCAUUCUUAUUGCUGUCCUCUUUUCAAAAACUUUCACUUCCUUCCUUCCCAACCUCAUUCAUCUUUCAAUGCCCCAUACUAUCCUUUCUCCUUUUACUUGAAAUGUACAAUUUUAUCACAUACUAUGUUGCAUUUGAAACUUCAGGUUGGUGUCUGUUCACUCUGAUCCAGUUUCUAAGUGGUCUUAAGUUUGAAAAAAAAACUGUCUUCCGUAUUUUAUCAGUCCUUUCAACUGGAAUGAAAACAUCAUGAGGACACUUAAGACUUGUUUACUGAAGUAUGAGUUUCAUUUAACAGAUAAUGGGGAUUAUAAGAGGUCAAAAGAUAAUAAUAUUUGAUACCUGGGAGGGAAAAUUGGAAGUCUCCUCACAAUGCUUGGUACAGUGCCUAUAUUAAGUUAUCAUGAUGACUGUCUAGUCUCAAGAGUCUGAACAUACAUGCUAGCCAGGAAUUAACCAUGUUAAGCUAACUUCCAAAAACAGUUGACUAAAAUGUUAAAUAAUAAAUAGAGAAAGCCAUGUAGGACAGCUUUUACUAUAUCAUUGUCUGAGUAAUUCUUGAACACAAGUUUCAUGAUUUUAUGUAAUAUUCUGAGGGAAAAUAACUGAAUGACACUCAAUUGUUUUGAUCUGGUGGCACCACUACUACUAUUAAUCACGAAAUAGCAUACUGGAUAAGAACAGUAUAGUUCUGUUUCCUCUUAUAUUCGUGUUACAAAUGUGAAAUUAAUUUUCCUUAAGCACAUUUUGUUUUACAAAACUAAACACAAAUGUUUUUCUUAUUAUAAAAUUUGUAUCUUGUGUCCUAAAUUUUUUAACUUUGCUGGAAGCAAGUUUAGUUUAGCAUAUCUUGCUCCAGGCACACUCAUUUUAUUGGCUUUCACAUUUCUAGAAGAAUCAAGCAUGAUCACAUUGUGUGUAUUAUCCUUUUCUUCAUGUAUUCAGAUAUAAAUGUUUCCAAUUGUACAAAGUAACUAGAAAUCAAAUGAGACUACAAAGAUAGAAUUGUUCCUCGGUAUUCACACAAGAUCAGUCCCAGUACCUCAUCUGGAUGCCCAAAUCCAUGAAUGUUCAAGUUUCUUACAUAAAAUUCUGUAGUAUUAGAAUAUAACUUAUGUGAUUCUCCCAUGCACAUUACUUAUUUGUUCAUUUAUUUGUUUAUUGAGGCAGGGUCUCAUGUGUGAAAUUUCUUUGCAUGUUUGUAACUCCACCUAAGGGGAUCCCCCAUACGGCAAACACAGCCUAAGCUACUUAUCAAGACUUUUGUAGUCUUAACUAGCCUGAAACUUGGUAUGUACAAUCCUCAAACUCAUAUAGGUCCACCUAUUGCCAUCUCCCAUGUGCCAUCAGACUUGGUACUCCCACGAACUCUCAAAUCAUCUAUAAAGGGGCUCAUAGACACCCCUGUUCUGAUAAAUCUUUUUGCCAAAAGCCGCCUGAGCCCCACCGCCACGAGCGAGCUUUACACCAGCCAACCGCCCGAGUUAGGCCCAAAUGAAUACACAGAGAGACUUGUAUUAGUUACAAAGCUGCUUGGCCAAUGACUAGGACUCUCAUCUGUUAGCUCAGUCUCAAUUAUCAUACAUCUAUAUAUUUUAUGGGACUUAUCUUAUCAGACACCUUAUUGGCGUCCCUCCUUGCUGGUGAAUCACAUCGUGCCGCUGGAGCAGGAGCCGAGGGGAAAGAGAGAGCAACACUUCCUUUUUCCUCUUCUUAAAUAUGAGUCUCCUUGCAAUGUCACUUCCUGUCUGGAACACCACUUCUCUACUACAUUUCCCAGAAUCCUCUUUGACUCUUAGUCCAGCCUAACCUGCUGUCUCAUUGGCCAAGCAAGUACUUUAUUUAUAAACAUACACAGAAGUAUUUCCCCCAUCA